AGGUGACCCAUCUGAGGAACUCCCUAAUGCCAGGGCAGAUGAGGAGAACCCAUCUAACACAAAGGUAGCCUCAAGAACAAGAGAACAAGGUUCAUGUCUCAAGUAUAAAAAGAGAAAAUGUGCUACUCAAUCCAAAAAGUCUACUGCCCGCCAUUCCCAGUCUGUCAGACGUCGCAAAAUCACCAUGUGGCCAAGGAAGAGGAAGGGACAUCAAACAUCCCCAAGCAACUCUUCUUCUUUGGAAGCUCCCCUGGAAGACCUGGUGGAGGACCCUCUUCGUGACAGGGAGGAUGAAGUGGUUCCACCUAAUGUUGAGGUAAGGUCAUCUGUUUUGGUCUAAGACAGAAAUAUUCCUUUCUCUU
rnacentral:lncRNA from 1 species